AGCUCCAAUAGCGUAUAUUAAAGUUGCUGCAGUUAAAAAGCUCGUAGUUGAAGUGCGUCCCCGGGCGGGCGUCGGGUACAAUGUACCCAGCGUGGUGCUCGGGGAUCUCCUUGCGGGGUGGCGGGGGUGGCAUUAGGUUGUCGUCCCCGGUCUACUGCUCCGCAUCGUUUACUGUGAGGAAAUGUGAGUGUUUAAAGCGGGCGGUAGCCGCUGGUAACGUUUAGCAUGGGAUAAUAAGAUAGGACGGCGGUGCUAUUUUGUUGGUUUGCACAGCGUCGUAAUGAUGAAUAGGGACAGUUGGGGGUAUUUAUAUUGUGGUGUCAGAGGUGAAAUUCUUGGAUUACUACAAGAUAAACAAGUGCGAAAGCAUUUACCAAGGAUGUUUUCA
rnacentral:rRNA from 1 species